UAACACGUAAGCAACCUGCCUAUUAGAGGGGAAUAACAGUGAGAAAUCAUUGCUAAUACCGCAUAAGCUGACAAUAUCGCAUGAUAUAGUCAGAAAAGGAGAAAUCCGCUAAUAGAUGGGCUUGCGUCCGAUUAGCUAGUUGGUGGGGUAAAGGCCUACCAAGGCAACGAUCGGUAGCCGAGCUGAGAGGCUCAACGGCCACAUUGGGACUGAGAUACGGCCCAGACUCCUACGGGAGGCAGCAGUCGGGAAUAUUGCACAAUGGAGGAAACUCUGAUGCAGUGACACCGCGUAUAGGAAGAAGGUUUUCGGAUUGUAAACUAUUUUAGACAGGGAAGAAAAAAGACAGUACCUGUAGAAUAAGCUCCGGCUAACUACGUGCCAGCAGCCGCGGUAAUACGUAGGGAGCAAGCGUUAUCCGGAAUUAUUGGGUGUAAAGGGUGCGUAGACGGGACAGCAAGUUAGUUGUGAAAGCCCUCGGCUUAACUGAGGAACUGCAACUAAAACUAUUGUUCUUGAGUGCAGGAGAGGAAAGCGGAAUUCCUAGUGUAGCGGUGAAAUGCGUAGAUAUUAGGAGGAACACCAGUGGCGAAGGCGGCUUUCUGGACUGUAACCGACGUUGAGGCACGAAAGUGUGGGGAGCAAACAGGAUUAGAUACCCUGGUAGU
rnacentral:rRNA from 1 species